ACGGAGGGAGCUAGCGUUGUUCGGAAUUACUGGGCGUAAAGCGCACGUAGGCGGCUUUGUAAGUCAGAGGUGAAAGCCUGGGGCUCAACUCCAGAACUGCCUUUGAGACUGCAUCUCUUGAGUUCAGGAGAGGAGAGCGGAAUUCCAGGUGUAGCGGUGAAAUGCGUAGAUAUCCGGAAGAACACCAGUGGCGAAGGCGGCUCACUGGACUAGAACUGACGCUGAGGCGCGAAAGCGUGGGGAGCAAACAG
rnacentral:rRNA from 1 species